rnacentral:rRNA from 1 species
GUCUACAGAUGUGCCACCUUGGACACACCUGGUCUCACCUGAUCUCGGAAGCUAAGCAGGAUUGGGCCUGGUUAGUACUUGGAUGGGAGAAUUGGAACACAGGGGUCUUUAGUGC